CAGCUGGUGGCGUAAUGGUUAAGCGUUUGGCUGCUAACCAAAAGGUUUGCAGUUCAAAUCCACCAGAUGC
rnacentral:tRNA from 1 species